GCUGGGAGUACCGAUUCUGCUGCAUUACCUUUCUCUUGUCUGACUUUGCUAUUGUGGCUUAUUUCGGAUUGAUUUUUAUCUUUCCGGAUGAUUACUUUGAGAAAAUUACAGUGCUCAAAUCAGGCUUUUGCCUUGAAUACUUUAUCAUGGAAUAAUAAAGUACGACUUUGGUUCUAUUUUGUCGGUUUUAGGUACCCUAGUACCGGUUAAUAGGAACCGUUGGGGGCAUUCGCAUUUAACUGUCUGAGGUGAAAUUCUUAAAUUUGUUAAAGACGAACUACUGCGAAAGCAUUUGCCAUCGAUGUUUUCAUUAAUCAAGAACGAAAGUUAGGGGAUCGAAAACUAUCACAUACCGUCGUAGACCUAACCAUAAACUAUGCCCACUAUAUAUUGCUGGUCCUCAUUUUUUUACGACUCCUUCAACACCUUUUUACCGAAAA
rnacentral:rRNA from 1 species